rnacentral:hammerhead_ribozyme from 1 species
GUACUGCUGAAGAGUCCCGAACUAGGACGAAACGGCUGUCCAGUAC